rnacentral:lncRNA from 1 species
AAAAUCAGGUACCGUGAAAAAGCGAAGAAAACAAUACCUGUGACCCCCACGUGGUAGGUGAGCGCUAGAGCCCUGGGGCGCAUCUUUCCAGGCCUGUGUGUGUGGCAGAAAAGGAGGUCAUGCACAUGCUCUUCUGAAACCCGCCUUGCCCCUGAGCAAAGGCCAAGCUGCUGUGUCACGGCCCACAGCUACGGUGGCUCAGAGGCCACAGACACUGUCUCCCCUUCACCUCCAGGGUGGGGACAGAGCUCAGCUUGCCUAGCGACACGAGACUCUGGCUUCCGCCCCCUAUCCCGGAAGAGAAGAGAAGCGCUCCAAGCAGCGCGGACAGUUCCACUCCGUGUCACUCAGGGUUCCUGGGCCCUCUCUUAGGACGUGGUCUGCAUGGUGGCAGUUGUCACUGUUUUAGUCAGCCUUUUCAAUGCUGUGACCAAAAGACCCCACAAGAAUGGUGUUAGAAGAGGAUAAGUUUACUUGGCACUCAGGGUUUCGGAGGCCUCAGUCCUUAGAAGGUCGGCUCCGCGGCUCUGGCUGAGGUGAGGCCACACAUGGCGGAAGGUUGUGGUGGAGGCAGGCAGUCGGGCCGACCGAGAGCCGAGAGAGCUCACCAGGGACAAAAUACGAGCCCCAAAGGCACAGCCCCAGUGACACCAUCCUCCAGCCACACCCUACCUGCCGACAGUUACCAUCCAGUUGGUCCAUACUAAUGGAUCAGUCCCCCAUUAGGCUCCCAUAACCCAAUCAUGUCACCUCUAGCCCUUCUUGAUUGUCUCCCAUGAGUCUCUGAGGAGCACCUCAUGUCUGACCCAUAACUGACACAUUCCCAGUUUGCAGAAAAGGAAAGGCACACAGGGAUCAUAUGCCAGCAUUUUGAGUGUCAGACCCCAUCCCGGCAGGCAACAGUUCCUCUGCGUUUCGUUAACAAAAGCCCAAUGCCUGGCAGCAAGGGCUGCUGGGAAGCGCCUACCAACUGAGAGCGGCUGUUAGCUGACAGCGCCAUUUCCUUGAGGAUCACCCAAGUGGUGCCUUGUGUCGCCAGUCUUUUUCGUUGCCAAGUAAUGCUCCGCAGUGUGUAUGUACCACGCUAUUUAACUGCUUAACCCUUUGGGGGAUAUCUGGGUGGUCCUAAAUUGGGGCCAUUCCAAAGAAGCUGCUGAGCCUUGUGUACUAGCCUCUGCAUGAAAAUAAGCUUUCCUUUCUGUGGGAUGUGCCCAUGCAUAUAAUUGUUGGGUCAUGAGAUAAGUUCAUUUUUAAUUUCAAAAGGAACGGCCAAGGGCUGGGAUGUGGCUCGGUGGUGGUGG